rnacentral:lncRNA from 1 species
GAGAGUUCCUCUGCUGCCUUUAGCCUGGAAAUGGAAUGGAGCAGGAAACAGUCUAAAAUGUGUCUCAGAUCAGUCUAGACAGGUAUUAUCUACACAAAGCACAUCCACAGCAGAGCCGGUUACAGGUGUGGCAUCGUGCCCUCCUGGGCAGGAACCACAAAGAAAUGGGACGAUGGCCUCAGGUCUCCAGGACGCCACGAGUGUGGCUGAGGACACUGCACAGACCACAUAGUCGGAGGCAGCAGCAAGAUGUAGCUGGCUGAGGCUGUUUUACCCUCCUCCUCUUGGCCAGAGUGGAUUUCCAGGGAGGAGGUAGGCACAGUCUUGUGCCAUUUUCCUGCCCAGUCUUGAAAAAAAUUCCAUGAGCCAUGAAGGUGAAAGGACCGGUCAGCAAAGCACGUGCAGCUACCAUUUGCAGGUCAGAGAUGAUGGUUUUUCACCCUGCAGUAAGGUUCUCUUUUUGCCCUUGGGAAGACCAGUGUGGACAACUUAUGAGAGAAGUAUUUCUCAAAUAUAAAGACAGGCCAUGUUUUCAAGGCUGUAGCCUCAAGCCCUCCGCUGGACUAGCAAAACUGAGCUCAGAACUCAGCCAUGCAAAUCUUUCACCCACAGAAAGGGAUGGAACUGCAUGAAGCAUGGACAGGACCCUGGAGUUCCAGAAAGGGAUAGACUCAAUCUGUACAUGUUAUUGUCAUAAAGUGCAUACUGUUGAUUACAAACCACUGUGAACAUAUGUAUUUUUUAAAAUUUUGUUUCAAAGGGAUUGCUUUUUUCUCUCAUUGUCUUGUCGUGUACAAACUAGUUUUUAUAGCUAUCAACAUUAGGAUUAACUCAACCAUGCCAGCAUCACUGGUAUGAUGUAUAUUUAAUCAAAGCACACUUUCCCCUACCGUAUACUCAUAAUGACGAUUAAAGCCAUUAUUUUAAAUGUUUGUGACUCUUUCCUAAAGCCAAAGUUUCUGUUGAAAUAUGAAUUGACACACCCCUAAGUACAAGGUUGUGUACAUGGUUGUGUACACAUGCUACCUUCCUAGGGAUUCAAAAACAGGUUUUUGGUUUUGAAUAGCAAUUAGUAACAUAGUGCUAUUUCAGGUAGUAAUGAUUAAAGUUAAUAACAUUUUGUACAAUUUCCACAUAGUCUAUUCAUUAAGUAAUCUUUUUACAGUUUCAUCAGGCCUGAACCCGUCCAUUCAGAAAGCUUCAAAUUAUAGAAACAAUACUGUUCUAUACGAGUGACCGAUUAUGCUUUCUUUGGCCUACAUUCUUUAUUCUGCGGUGAAGUUGAGGCUUAGAAGUCAAAACAAAGGAACUAACUUACUAUCCACCAGUUUAUACAGAACUCACAGUAUCUAUGACUUUUUUUUUAAUCUAUGACUUUUUUAAACUAAGAUCUGUUAAAAAGAAAUCUGUUUGAACAGAUGACCGUGUACAUACCAUGUGGUGAAAAUGAAUUCAUACUUCUUAAACGACAAACUUGUUAAAUCCUCUCAGUGUCUAUUUAUCAGCACAAUACACACAGGAGAACUGUUGAUGGCAUAUUGAAUAGAUUUUAAUGAAUAAAUUGCUCUGGAAACCAAAAAAAGGAAAGGGAUAGAAGGCAACAGGGGUAGACGACUUCAGAACGCUGUGAUUUGGAGAGAACCUCCUUUGUGACAUUUUGACAAAAUGGUAAGGAGCUUACAUUUUUCCUGCUCAUUCAUCAAUUGGGUAGAAUUGACUGGUCCCUUAAUUGAUCACGCAACUAUAAAAGUAGGAAUAGGAAACAUAAUAGUUUGCCAAAACCCCUGCUUUAAUGUCACGUGUUUUUUUACUGUGCUUUUAAAAUGAUUGUUACUGGGCACCUGGGGGCUCAGUGGUUGAGCAUCUGCCUUCGGCUCAGGUUGUGAUCCUGGGGUCCUGGGGUCGAGUCCUACAUCAGGUUCCCCACAGGGAAACUGCUUAUCCCUCUGCCUGUGUCUCUGCCUCUCUCUCUGUGUCUCUC